AUUUGGCUGUGAAGAUACAAUGACAGCUCUAAAAUGCCAGUUCUGCUUCUGAAAAUUCGUGAUUGAUGAGCUGAUCAAGAACUGAGCCUUGU